GGACAGGGCCCACCCUGGCUGGGGGACCAGAUGGAUGAACCAUGGGGGGCUGCUUUGCCCUGAUAGGGGCAGCUGGUGAGUGGCCCUUUAUCAGCUGGGCUCUGGGCCCCAGGCAGCCAUGCGGUCCUUUGGCGAGAGGCUGCGGGGUGACAGGGCUCCCGGGCCUGGGCAGGAGAGAUACAAGGAAAGGGCAUUUUUUCAAAAGCACAGGGAUCGGUGCUGCUGUCUCCGAUUAGGAAGACUGGCAGUCAAAGAUGGAAUGAAUUGGACUCACAUAAAGAGCAUCAAGUAAAGGCUUAGAGCACUCCGGGUCCAGGUGCCCUGGCUUUCCAGCUGCAGAUGGGCGCGCGGCUUCACUCCCGGGCCUUGGCACGCUCCUCGGCCCACCUCACAUGGGCCGAGUGAGGAUCCAACAGAAUAACAACUGCAGGCCAGGACCCAGCCCUCAGCCAGCCCUGGCCCACGGUCAGCAUCGCCCACGUCCUCCUGCAGCUCACCUUGGCUUUCCAUUCAAUGACCUACUGUGCAAAACAGGGGCAGGGCCAAACACAAAUAAAAAGAAAAACUCA